rnacentral:rRNA from 1 species
UACAUAGGGGGCCAGCGUUAUUCGGAAUUAUUGGGCGUAAAGGGCGCGUAGGCGGCCAUGCGUGUCUUUCGUGAAAUCCCUCGGCUUAACUGAGGACGUGCGGAAGAAACUGCAAGGCUUGAGUCCGGGAGAGGGGGGUGGAAUUCCCAGUGUAGCGGUGAAAUGCGUAGAUAUCGUAAGGAAGACUAGUGGCGAAGGCGGGUCUCUGGACAGUUCCUGACGCUGAGGCACGAAGGCCAGGGGAGCAAACGGG